GAAAAACGUGGGCCAAUCAAGGAAGAACAUUCUGAUGAUAUUCAGUUUCAGGAUAACAGAAUGAGGGAUGUUUAUGCUGAAGAAAGAUGGGCAAGUUCAAGGUUCUCAACCACUGCUCACAGUAGUUCUGUGAGAAGCAAAACCUCUUCUGAGAGUUCUUGGGAUGGUUCUUCUUCUAAAAGUACAAAGUCAACAAGGGGAAGACGGGGAAAUAAAACAGGUGCUGCAGAGCCAACUACUGGUUAUGGAA
rnacentral:misc_RNA from 1 species